CCCUUAGAUGUUCUGGGCCGCACGCGCGCUACACUGAUGCCUUCAACAAGCCUAGCCUUGACCGAGAGGUCCGGGUAAUCUUUGAAACUGCAUCGUGAUGGGGCUAGAUUAUUGCAAUUAUUAAUCUUCAACGAGGAAUGCCUAGUAAGCGUGAUUCAUCAAAUCGCGUUGAUUACGUCCCUGCCCUUUGUACACACCGCCCGUCGCUCCUACCGAUUGAAUGUGUUGGUGAGGAGCUCGGAUUGGCAGCAGUUGGUGGUUCGCCACCGGCUAUUGCUGAGAAGUCCUCCAAACCGCCCCAUUUAGAGGAAGGAGAAGUCGUAACA
rnacentral:rRNA from 1 species